rnacentral:miRNA from 1 species
UGAAGGCGACUGAUGAUUUCA